rnacentral:SRP_RNA from 1 species
CGCCGCUCUCCUGUAACCGCAAGGGGCUAAGGUGUAUGGAGCAUUUCUGGUGCUUGUAUCACUUGCAACCUUGGUGCAGAUUUCGGGUCUGUCUUGAGAGCGGAGUCAACAGAGGUUAUUCCUGGAAGGGAGUGAUCUUGGUUGCCUAAGGAGGGGUGAAACGCAUCAGGCCGGCAACGGAGCAGUGCAAAAUCCCCGCUCAGUUCAGCAAGCAGAUAGCCUGAA